CACGUAGGGGGCGAGCGUUGUCCGGAUUUAUUGGGCGUAAAGAGCGCGCAGGCGGCUUGGUAAGUCGGAUGUGAAAUCCCGAGGCUCAACCUCGGGUCUGCAUCCGAUACUGCCCGGCUAGAGGUAGGUAGGGGAGAUCGGAAUUCCUGGUGUAGCGGUGAAAUGCGCAGAUAUCAGGAGGAACACCGGUGGCGAAGGCGGAUCUCUGGGCCUUACCUGACGCUCAGGCGCGAAAGCUAGGGGAGCGAACUGG
rnacentral:rRNA from 1 species